rnacentral:rRNA from 1 species
AUUGAACGCUGGCGGCAUGCCUAACACAUGCAAGUCGAACGAGUGGCGGACGGGUGGGUUAUUUUUGGGGAACUGCCCGAGGGAGGGGGAUAACUACUGGAAAAGGUAGCCAAUUCCGCAUACUAUUAGAUGCGCCCGGAGGGGAUUAGCUUGGUGGUGGGGUAAAGGCUCAACAAGGCGACGAGCCCUAGCUGGUCUGAGAGGAUGACCAGCCACACUGGAACUGAGGAACGGUCCAGACACCUACGGUGGGCAGCAGUGGGGAAUAUUGCACGAGGGGGGAGAGCCUAAUGCAGCCAUGCCGCGUGUAUGAAGAAGGCCUUCGGGUUGUAAAGUACUUUCAGCGGGGAGGCGUUACCCGAAGAAGAAGCACCGGCUAACUCCGUGCCAGCAGCCGCGGUAAUUC